rnacentral:piRNA from 1 species
UAUAUUCUUCCCUUGAUUCCUUAGAAUGU